GGUGCCAUGGCUUAGUUGGUUAAAGCGCCUGUCUAAUAAACAGAGAUCCUGAGUUCGAUUCUCAGUGGUGCCU
rnacentral:tRNA from 1 species